rnacentral:rRNA from 1 species
AUUGAACGCUGGCGGCAUGCCUUACACAUGCAAGUCGAACGGCAGCACGGGAGCAAUCCUGGUGGCGAGUGGCGAACGGGUGAGUAAUGUAUCGGAACGUACCUUUCAGUGGGGGAUAACGUAGCGAAAGUUACGCUAAUACCGCAUAUUCUGUGAGCAGGAAAGCAGGGGAUCGCAAGACCUUGCGCUGAUUGAGCGGCCGACAUCAGAUUAGCUAGUUGGUGAGGUAAAGGCUCACCAAGGCGACGAUCUGUAGCGGGUCUGAGAGGAUGAUCCGCCACACUGGAACUGAGACACGGUCCAGACUCCUACGGGAGGCAGCAGUGGGGAAUUUUGGACAAUGGGCGCAAGCCUGAUCCAGCCAUGCCGCGUGAGUGAAGAAGGCC